AUUGAACGCUGGCGGCAGGCCUAACACAUGCAAGUCGGACGGUAGCACAGAGGAGCUUGCUCUUCGGGUGACGAGUGGCGGACGGGUGAGUAAUGUCUGGGGAUCUGCCCGAUAGAGGGGGAUAACCACUGGAAACGGUGGCUAAUACCGCAUAACGUCGCAAGACCAAAGAGGGGGACCUUCGGGCCUCUCACUAUCGGAUGAACCCAGAUGGGAUUAGCUAGUAGGCGGGGUAACGGCCCACCUAGGCGACGAUCCCUAGCUGGUCUGAGAAGAUGAGCAGGCACACUGGAACUGAGACACGGACCAGACUCCUACGGGAGGCAGCAGUGGGGAAUAUUGGACAAUGGGCGCAAGCCUGAUGCAGCCAUGCCGCGUGUAUGAAGAAGGCCUUCGGGUUGUAAAGUACUUUCAGCGGGGAGGAAGGCGAUGUGGUUAAUAACCGCGUCGAUUGACGUUACCCGCAGAAGAAGCACCGGCUAACUCCGUGCCAGCAGCCGCAGUAA
rnacentral:rRNA from 1 species